rnacentral:lncRNA from 1 species
UCCAGAUUGAAUAUAUUAAAACACACAAGAAGUAAAAGUAAAACUGAAAACUGGGUUCAUGAGAAUAAAACAAAACUUAUACCAUCAAAGAUUUAACCGUAAGAAACCCCCAGCAUUCCCAAUGAUUAGAAAAAUCGAAUUUGAUAACAUUGUACCUUUUUUUUAUUUUUUAUUUAACGGUAAAAGGGAAUUCAUUUCACAACAAACCAAAACAUAGAAGUUACAAGCCAAUUGCAAUCAUAUGAGAAAUUGGUAUCUCUAUAACAAUGUAAUAUUUGAACUCCAAUUAUCGAAAUCCAACUAACAAAUACACUAAUAUCUGUACACAAAUAAAAUAACCCAAUAAUUUAGCAAGAAUGAAAAGGAAGUAAUAUGAACAGAGAGAGAUGUAUAAAGACCCAACCCCUGGCAUG